AUCAGAACACUUCUGCGCAUGCGAAGAAGAGCGCGUGUGUGAGCGUUGCGAACUGGUAGUAAAGAAUAUGUCCAAAAUCCAGGAUCCAUGAUUCCUGAGGGAAUGAAAUUUUGAAAAAGCUGUGGCUGUUUUGGUGCUACUGGCUGCUGCUAAGCUGCUGCUGCUAUUGCUGUGGUCACAUCAGUAGUGGUUUGCCCCCAGUUUGCACCAGUUCUAUAGAACCAGUAGUAAAAUUGGUGGGAGACUUCGCCCACCAACCCUGACAUCAUCAAAAUGCUUCUGCGCAUGCACAGAAGAGUGCGUGCAGCCCCACUGCGAACCGGUAGUAAAGCAACCACUCACCUGCCUGCUGGGAAGGGAAAGGAAGGAUGGAAGGAAGAUUUCUGUUAUUCCCUGCCAGCUUCCUGCAAGGAAAUGAGGAAGCCAACAGGAAGUUGGAAUUUGCUCUCACUCUCUCUGUUUCUCAGUUUAGAGCACUUCCUGGUGGAAUGGGAGAUAGGGAUCGAAGAGAAGAUCUACUCCACUUUCCAUUUCCUGCCUGACAGACAGGGGUCUUUUGCUUAUUCACCAUCCAUUAAUUUAGUUUGACCUAGAAAUCAUUUUGCUUAACAGCACAAUAAAGAACAGGAAGUGUAUGGAA